UACGUAGGGUGCGAGCGUUGUCCGGAAUUACUGGGCGUAAAGAGCUCGUAGGCGGUUUGUCGCGUCGUCCGUGAAAACUUGGGGCUCAACCCCAAGCUUGCGGGCGAUACGGGCAGACUUGAGUACUGCAGGGGAGGACUGGAAUUCCUGGUGUAGCGGUGGAAUGCGCAGAUAUCAGGAGGAACACCGGUGGCGAAGGCGGGUCUCUGGGCAGUAACUGACGCUGAGGAGCGAAAGGCGUGGGGAGCGAACAGG
rnacentral:rRNA from 1 species